GGAGAGUGCAGCCGGGGGGCUCGGUCGCUUAGCCCGCCCUAGCCCUGGGUCUGGGCCAGCAAAGCCCCACGCAGAACCUGUGUCUUCCGGGCCACUGGCCACCCAGUAGCCUUCCAAGCCCCCUCCUCCCAUGUCUGCAUCCGGAUCCUGGGGCCAGGCGCAGUAAUGAAUGACUUUCCUGUGCAUACAACAGCCGCUAACCCCCCCCCACCCCCCCCAUCUUGUCCUAAGAACCUCUGGAGGGGGCUGGGCUGGGGGGAAACCAGGGUGAGCCUCCCACUUGAGACCACUCGUUCUAAGGCCAAGGAAGGCCUGGGUGUCCCCUCAGGAGAUGGCAGCUUCCUGUUUCCAUCCACACCCUGGGUGGAGGUGGGCAGCUGGGCAUUUGAAAUGGGGGCCAGGCUGUGGAUUACACGUAGAAUCUAGGGUCCAGAAUCCAGACUUUCUGCGCUCUGCCCCCUCAACUGCAUCACUUUAGUACGGAGAAGUUAGUCUCAUCUUGACUGGUGAAGCACAUGAGUUGAUCACUCCCGUGAAGGUCACAUCCCACCUCCACCUCCAGCAAGUACCCUUUCCUGAAUCACUGAGACCUGAAUUUGGACCCGUUUCCUCCAUCUGGUAGACAGAUGACUCUGGAGAGUCAGGUAACACACUUGGGUCUCAGCGCCUUCUGGAAUGCUUAGUCACAAAUGCUGCAGAGAUUAAAUGCGGAUAUGUAUGUAAAGUACCUAACAGUGUCGGUCCCAUAAUAGGUGCUCAAAAUGGACAAGUGUCAUUAUUUAUUGUUACUUAGGCAUAGGCUAAUUCUGAGUUCUGAACCAACUCUUUCAUCAGCUCACAGUGUGGUCCUGACAAGCCACUUCCCUUCAGCCUCAGUUUCCUCCAUAAAACCAAAGGAUGGAUUAGAAUGAUCUUAACUGUCCUUCCAGGGCUAACGUUGCCCGAUUCUAGAUUCCCAGAAAAGGACAGAGGGGAAGCAAAGAUAGUCACAAAAAAUAAGACGCUAAAAGGAAUUAUAGGUGUCACAGAACACAAGAGGAGCCAGGCUGAAGGGUUCCUGGUGGCCAAAUCGGGCAGUUUGAGCAUCAAAAUAAUUAGGUACUGGAAUGAAUUAAAACCAUGACAAAAACAGUAACUCAAAGUCGGAAGUAAAUGAGAUCGUGAGGAGGGCUCUUGCUUGUACCAGAACGCCGAGGGCCAGACGGUUAAAUGUAGAAUGAGUGCUGAAGUCGGAAAAUCGUGAUUUUCACAGUAAAGAUUCCAUCAGUGGGUGCUAAAUCCAGGGAGAAAUUUUGAUGAAGAGCAGAACAUUUGCAUUGUCUUCAAGAGUCUCCCCAUGGACUGCUUACAAGUUACAAGGUAGAAAAAGAAGACAACCAAACAAAACCCAGUAAUUAUGAAGUGGAGAAAUGGGGCAAGGUCUUCACUGAAUGAUCAAAAUUAACAUCGCCAAUAAGGGACAGAUGGAUAGCACACGCCUUCAGAUGUGACACCCUGAAGGAGACACAUCACCGAAGUCAUGUAGGGUCCAUGAAAAACCAGGAAAGUCUGAGAACUGGCCUACACCACAGAGGCCUGAAGAGCCGUCACAACUCAGUGCUGAGCGUGUGGUACCACGGAAGUGAGGAUGCAGAGGAAGAAGGAUGAAAGAAGGGGAGAAGAAUAUUCUUUGAGUACCAGCUGUGUUCCAGGCACUGUUCUAGGUGCUGGGAGGUCAAUCGUUGUCCACAUGGAAGUUGCUGGGGGGAGGGGCUGCCUGACAAAAGCAAACCAAUAGAGAAG